rnacentral:lncRNA from 1 species
CAUUAACUCAUCCUGAUUUAAGGAAGCUUUGUGAAUGACGAGAAAUUUCAGGAUUAUGUUUAUAUAGUUUCAAAGGUCGUAUUUUUAGACAAAGGAUAAUUUAAGAAGAUUGGCUAGUAUCCCUCCUCAGUCUUAAGCUAUUUUAAUGAAAACAGAAAAGGACAGCCUGUUUACUUCUUAGGAGUGUCAUACAUCAGUUUUGUAUAAAUAUAGAAGAUAAAUAUAUAAAGACCAUAUUUUAUAAAUGGAUUAAUAUAAAAUCACCAUCUUAUUUACACGAAACACAUCUCAUUAUAAUCAUUCUACAUAAUGUAGGAUCUAUUAUAAAAUGAACAAUCUGUUUCUAAUUUUUGUGCUUAAAUCUUGGGAUAAUUUUAAGUGAAGUGUAGUCAGCAUUUUAAUGUAUUCU